rnacentral:miRNA from 1 species
AAGAUGUUCUUUAUGUAGGCUCC